rnacentral:ncRNA from 1 species
CCUAACUUUACAACCGAGGAUGGGAAUGACGGAACCACGUAUCCCGAAACCAUCCCGUCAAUACUCCUGCAUGCGUCAUAACUAACAGGUUAUGGGGUUUGAAGUACAGAGAGAUUCGGCAGAACAAAGGCUGGAGCCAUUUGAAUAGAAAAGGUAUGCCAACGGAUAUGCCUUAUAUAGGAGUUUUUGUACA